CAGUAGCCACGGUAAUACGAAGGGGGCUAGCGCUGCUCGGAAUUACUGGGCGUAAAGGGAGCGUAGGCGGGUCGUUUAGUCAGAGGUGAAAUCCCGGGGCUCAACCUCGGAACUGCCUUUGAUACUGGCGACCUUGAGGAUGGGAGAGGUAAGCGGAACUCCGAGUGUAGAGGUGAAAUUCGUAGAUAUUCGGAAGAACACCAGUGGCGAAGGCGGCUUACUGGCCCAUUACUGACGCUGAGGCUCGAAAGCGUGGGGAGCAAACAGGAUUAGAUACCCCCGUAGUCCCUGUCUCUUAUAC
rnacentral:rRNA from 1 species